UAAAAAAAAGACAGGAGAAAGACAGGAAUAAAGGGAAGAUUAUUCUUUUCUUUCCCCAAACAGGAGAGUCUUCAACAUGCUACUGUGUUGAAUAACCGAAGGAGCCUGGGGAUGGGAGGUCAAGGAUUCGCAGCUGAGAGCAAGUCAUGGGUGGUGCAAGGCCCUGGGGCUGGGGCUGGAGCCCAGGAGAUAUGCCAGUGUCACAGGCUUGCAUGGGAUUGUGUUCUUGACUUCAGGAACAUCUGGACCAGGCUACAGUGGCUGAAAGAUGACAUGUUCUGAAAGGGGAAAUCACUCUAUAUAUAUCUUGAAUUUCCAUUGUCAAAAAACACAGAUGAAUUCAACCAACAACGUGUAUGGAAUAUCACCUAUGCCCA
rnacentral:lncRNA from 1 species